rnacentral:rRNA from 1 species
CCUGGCUUAGGAUGAACGCUAGCGACAGGCCUAACACAUGCAAGUCGAGGGCAGCACAAGGAGCAAUCUGAGGUGGCGACCGGCGCACGGGUGAGUAACACGUAUGCAACCUGCCUGUAAGCGGGGAAUAACCCGUUGAAAGACGGACUAAUACCGCAUAAUACUAAAUUACUGCAUGGUAAUUUAUUUAAACAUUUAUGGCUUACAGAUGGGCAUGCGCAUGAUUAGCUAGUUGGAGAGGUAACGGCUCCCCAAGGCAACGAUCAUUAGGGGUUCUGAGAGGAAGGUCCCCCACACUGGUACUGAGACACGGACCAGACUCCUACGGGAGGCAGCAGUGAGGAAUAUUGGUCAAUGGACGAGAGUCUGAACCAGCCAAGUCGCGUGCAGGAAGAAUGUCCUAUGGAUUGUAAACUGCUUUUGCAGGGGAAUAAAGUGCAUCACGUGUGAUGUUUUGUAUGUACUCUGCGAAUAAGGAUCGGCUAACUCCGUGCCAGCCGCCGC